rnacentral:rRNA from 1 species
UACGUAGGGGGCAAGCGUUGUCCGGAAUUAUUGGGCGUAAAGAGCGCGUAGGCGGUCCGAUAAGUCGGCUGUGAAAGUCAGGGGCUCAACCCUUGGAAGCCGGCCGAUACUGUCGGACUAGAGUCCGGAAGAGGCGAGUGGAAUUCCCGGUGUAGCGGUGAAAUGCGCAGAUAUCGGGAGGAACACCAAUGGCGAAGGCAGCUCGCUGGGACGGUACUGACGCUGAGGCGCGAA